rnacentral:ncRNA from 1 species
GAGAGCCGGAUGUGGGAAAACCACACGUCCGGUUCGAUGAGGGGACGGGAUCCGCAAGGAUCCCUCCUACUCUAC